AUUGAACGCUGGCGGCAUGCUUUACACAUGCAAGUCGAACGGUAACAGGGAGCUUGCUCCGCUGACGAGUGGCGAACGGGUGAGUAAUGCGUCGGAACGUGCCGAGUAGUGGGGGAUAACGCAUCGAAAGGUGUGCUAAUACCGCAUACGUACUGAGGUAGAAAGUGGGGGACCUUCGGGCCUCCCGCUAUUCGGGGGGCCGACGUCUGAUUAGCUAGUUGGUGAGGUAAAGGCUCACCAAGGCGACGAUCAGUAGCGGGUCUGAGAGGAUGAUCCGCCACACUGGGACUGAGACACGGCCCAGACUCCUACGGGAGGCAGCAGUGGGGAAUUUUGGACAAUGGGCGCAAGCCUGAUCCAGCCAUGCCGCGUGUCUGAAGAAGGCCUUCGGGUUGUAAAGGACUUUUGUCCGGGAGCAAAUGCUGGUGGCUAACAUCCACCGGAGCUGAGAGUACCGGAAGAAUAAGCACCGGCUAACUACGUGCCAGCAGCCGCCGUAAUAC
rnacentral:rRNA from 1 species